rnacentral:lncRNA from 1 species
AUGUAUAUGCAGAGUGAAUAAGAGAUUACAUUAAUCAACAAAAGUAAUACCUGCUCCCUCUUACUUUUGUCUCCUAGAUUUCUGCUUAGUAUUACAAGGAGACACAGGCAUUUAAAACUUAAGACUUAUAUUAACCACUUGCAAAAGCAAAAUAUCAAAAAGAAAACACCAAAAUCGAAACACUGAAGUGACAGCAAAUUCUGUCACAGCCUCUUCGCUCCUUCUUGGCAAAAUAC